UACGGGGGGAGCAAGCGUUGUUCGGAUUUACUGGGCGUAAAGGGCGCGUAGGCGGCGUGACAAGUCACUUGUGAAAUCUCCGGGCUUAACUCGGAACGGUCAAGUGAUACUGUCGUGCUAGAGUACAGAAGGGGCAACUGGAAUUCUCGGUGUAGCGGUGAAAUGCGUAGAUAUCUGGAGGAACACCAGUGGCGAAAGCGGCUCACUGGACCGUGUCUGACGCUGAGGUGCGAAAGCUAGGGUAGCGAACGGG
rnacentral:rRNA from 1 species